rnacentral:rRNA from 1 species
UACGUAGGGGGCUAGCGUUGUCCGGAAUCAUUGGGCGUAAAGCGCGUGUAGGCGGCCCGGUAAGUCCGCUGUGAAAGUCGGGGGCUCAACCCUCGGAAGCCGGUGGAUACUGUCGGGCUCGAGUACGGAAGAGGCGAGUGGAAUUCCCGGUGUAGCGGUGAAAUGCGUAGAGAUCGGGAGGAACACCAGAGGCGAAGGCGGCGACCUGGACAGUUACUGACACUCAACUACGAAAGCGUGGGGAGCAAACAGG